UACGAAGGGGGCUAGCGUUGUUCGGAAUUACUGGGCGUAAAGCGCACGUAGGCGGAUAUUUAAGUCAGGGGUGAAAUCCCAGAGCUCAACUCUGGAACUGCCUUUGAUACUGGGUAUCUCGAGUAUGGAAGAGGUGAGUGGAAUUCCGAGUGUAGAGGUGAAAUUCGUAGAUAUUCGCAAGAACACCAGUGGCGAAGGCGGCUCACUGGCCCGGUACUGACGCUGAGGCACGAAAGCGUGGGGAGCAAACAGG
rnacentral:rRNA from 1 species